UAGGGAAUCUUCCACAAUGGACGAAAGUCUGAUGGAGCAACGCCGCGUGAGUGAAGAAGGGUUUCGGCUCGUAAAGCUCUGUUGGUAGUGAAGAAAGAUAGAGGUAGUAACUGGCCUUUAUUUGACGGUAAUUACUUAGAAAGUCACGGCUAACUACGUGCCAGCAGCCGCGGUAAUACGUAGGUGGCAAGCGUUGUCCGGAUUUAUUGGGCGUAAAGCGAGUGCAGGCGGUUCAAUAAGUCUGAUGUGAAAGCCUUCGGCUCAACCGGAGAAUUGCAUCAGAAACUGUUGAACUUGAGUGCAGAAGAGGAGAGUGGAACUCCAUGUGUAGCGGUGGAAUGCGUAGAUAUAUGGAAGAACACCAGUGGCGAAGGCGGCUCUCUGGUCUGUAACUGACGCUGAGGCUCGAAAGCAUGGGUAGCGAACA
rnacentral:rRNA from 1 species